rnacentral:sRNA from 1 species
GUCGGGCUCGGCCGUCGUCGUUGUUUGUCGCCGCAUCCCCGCUUCCGGGUUAGGCCGUUCUUGCCCGCCCCCUCCUCUCCUCCCUUCGGACCCAUAGAUCUCAGGCCCGGCUCCCCGCCCGCCGCAGCCCACUGUUGACCCGGCCCGUACUGCGGCCCUGCGGCCACCAUGUCCCUGCACGGCAAACGGAAGGAGAUCUACAAGUAUGAAGCGCCCUGGACGGUCUACGCGAUGAACUGGAGUGUGCGGCCCGAUAAGCGCUUUCGCUUGGCGCUGGGCAGCUUCGUGGAGGAGUACAACAACAAGGUCUUUGGAGUCCACUUUGAGAAGCUGAUGAAAGCGCUGGAUUCUCAUUGUCCAGACAUUACACAUACAUGAACAAUUUACAAACAAAUCCAAGGAAUAUGCACUGAUCUUUAAGUCCACCCAUUGCCCGGGCGAGAUAGAGCUUUAUUUCCUCUGUUGCUUCUUUCUUCCUUAUGGCCCAUAGUGGACAGCAGAACUGGGAAUGGGAUUCACGAUUCUGAUGUGGACACCG